AGUGAACGCUAGCGGUAGGCCUAACACAUGCAAGUCGAACGGCAGCACAGUAAGAGCUUGCUCUUACGGGUGGCGAGUGGCGGACGGGUGAGGAAUACAUCGGAAUCUACUUUUUCGUGGGGGAUAACGUAGGGAAACUUACGCUAAUACCGCAUACGACCUACGGGUGAAAGUAGGGGAUCUUCGGACCUUGCGCGAUUGAAUGAGCCGAUGUCGGAUUAGCUAGUUGGCGGGGUAAAGGCCCACCAAGGCGACGAUCCGUAGCUGGUCUGAGAGGAUGAUCAGCCACACUGGAACUGAGACACGGUCCAGACUCCUACGGGAGGCAGCAGUGGGGAAUAUUGGACAAUGGGCGCAAGCCUGAUCCAGCCAUACCGCGUGGGUGAAGAAGGCCUUCGGGUUGUAAAGCCCUUUUGUUGGGAAAGAAAAGCAGCAGGUUAAUACCCCGCUGUUCUGACGGUACCCAAAGAAUAAGCACCGGCUAACUUCGUG
rnacentral:rRNA from 1 species